rnacentral:rRNA from 1 species
UCAAGCUACAAAGAGCACAAGGGGAAUGCCUUGGCAUCGGGAGCCGAAGAAGGACGCGACUAACUGCGAUAAGCUACGGGGAGCCGUAAGUAGGCAUUGAUCCGUAGAUUUCCGAAUGGAGCAAUCCGACUAGAGUCAUGUCUAGUCAUCAUAUACUGAAUAAAAUAGGUAUAUGAGGGGAACCGCCUGAACUGAAACAUCUAAGUAGGGCGAGGAAAAGAAAUCAACCGAGAUUCCGCAAGUAGUGGCGAGCGAACGCGGAAGAGGCCAAACCGAGAGUAGUAAUACUUUCGGGGUUAGGACAGAAAUGUGUACACAGAGGUUUAGCAGAAUUGUAUGGGAAGGCAAACCAAAGAGAGUGAAAGUCUCGUAUGCGAAAAACUGAAGUGGCUAUCUGAAUCCAGAGUACCGCCGGACACGAGGAAUCCGGUGGGAAGACGGGGGGACCAUCCUCCAAGCCUAAAUACUAACCGAUGACCGAUAGAGAAGAGUACCGUGAGGGAAAGGUGAAAAGCACCCCGGGAGGGGAGUGAAAGAGAACCUGAAACCUUGUGCUUACAAGCACCGAGAGCCCGUCAAAGGGUGAUCGGGUACCUAUUGUAGAAUGGUCCGGCGAGUGAAUGUUACUGGCGAGGUUAAGCACCUAAGGUGUGGAGCCAAAGCGAAAGCAAGUCUGAAUAGGGCGAUUUUAAGUCAGUAGUAUUCGACCCGAAACCGGGUGACCUACCCAUGUCCAGGUUGAAGUGGAGGUAAAACUCCAUGGAGGACCGAACCGACUCCCGUUGAAAUGGUAGCGGAUGAGGUGUGGGUAGCGGAGAAAUUCCAAUCGAACCCGGAGAUAGCUGGUUCUCUCCGAAAUAGCUUUAGGGCUAGCCUCAAUUAACAUUACCGCAGGUAAAGCACUGAAUGAGCUAGGGGGCGAAAGCUUACUGAACUCUAUCAAACUCAGAAUGGCGGAUAAUGAAUGAUUGGGAGUCACACUACGUGAGAUAAGUUUCGUGGUGGAAAGGGAAACAGCCCAGACCCACAGCUAAGGUCCCAAAGUACAGUUAAGUGGAAAAGGAUGUGAAAUUGCGCAGACAACCAGGAUGUUGGCUCAGAAGCAGCCACUCAUUCAAAGAGUGCGUAAUAGCUCACUGGUCGAGCGUCUUUGCGCGGAGAAUUUAACGGGGCUAAACCUGACACCGAAGCUUAGGCAAUACAGCAAUGUAUUGGGUAGGGGAGCGUUGUAUACGCGGUGAAACAGUAGCGCAAGCGGCUGUGGAGUGUAUAGAAGUGAGAAUGCCGGAAUGAGUAGCGCGAAUGCAGUGAGAAUCUGCAUGGCCGAAAGCCUCAGGUUUCUGGAGGAAGGUUCGUCCGCUCCAGGUUAGUCGGGAGCUAAGGUGAGGCCUAACGGCGUAGCCGAUGCACAGACGGUAGAGAUUCCGUCACCACCAAAAGAGUUAAGCACAGGGACACAUUUGAAGUCUCGGAGCCGGGUGUUGGUUCCGGUAGCGAUCGAGGGAAGUUAGUACCGAAGUCCGGGAUGGAAGAUGGCGAGAAAAGCUGUGUGUAUUUCUGCGGUGCCCGUACCGCAAACCGACACAGGUAGGUAGGAAGAAGAUUCUAAGGCCAACGGGAGAAGGGUUGUUAAGGAACUCGGCAAAUUGACCCCGUAACUUCGGGAGAAGGGGUGCUCCAGAGAUGGAGCCGCAGAGAAUCGGCCCAAGCAACUGUUUACCAAAAACACAGGUUUGUGCUAAAUCGAAAGAUGACGUAUACGAGCUGACGCCUGCCCGGUGCUGGAAGGUUAAGAGGAGAUGUGCAAGCAUUGAAUCGAAGCCCCAGUGAACGGCGGCCGUAACUAUAACGGUCCUAAGGUAGCGAAAUUCCUUGUCAGGUAAGUUCUGACCCGCAUGAAAGGCGUAAUGAUUUGGGCACUGUCUCAACAGCCCGCCCGGCGAAAUUGUAGU